rnacentral:rRNA from 1 species
CCUACGGGAGGCAGCAGUGGGGAAUAUUGGGCAAUGGGGGAAACCCUGACCCAGCGACGCCGCGUGGAGGAAGGAGCCCUUCGGGGUGUAAACUCCUGUUGUAAGGGAAGAAGACAGUGACGGUACCUUACGAGGAAGCCCCGGCAAACUACGUGCCAGCAGCCGCGGUAACACGUAGGGGGCGAGCGUUGUCCGGAAUCACUGGGCGUAAAGCGCACGCAGGCGGAUGCGCGCGUCGGCUGUGAAAUGCACCGGCUCAACCGGUACACUGCGGUCGAUACGGCGCAUCUGGAGUGCGGGAGAGGGAAGCGGAAUUCCCGGUGUAGCGGUGAAAUGCGUAGAUAUCGGGAGGAACGCCGGUGGCGAAGGCGGCUUCCUGGCCCGCAACUGACGCUCAUGUGCGAAAGCCAGGGGAGCGAACC